rnacentral:rRNA from 1 species
UACAGAGGGGGCAAGCGUUGUUCGGAAUUACUGGGCGUAAAGGGCGCGUAGGCGGCCCGCUAAGUCGAACGUGAAAUCCCCGAGCUCAACUCGGGAACUGCGUCCGAUACUGGCGGGCUUGAAUCCGGGAGAGGGAUGCGGAAUUCCAGGUGUAGCGGUGAAAUGCGUAGAUAUCAGGAGGAACGCCGGCGGCGAAAGCGACUCUCUGGCCUGUAACUGACGCUGAGGCGCGAAAGCUAGGGGAGCAAACGGG